UCGGGAUGAGACUUAGCCAUGCUUGUCGAGCGCUUCUGAGCCAUGUUGGAAGCGCGGCAUACGGCUCCGUAACACGUAGUUAACCUACCCUUGGGACGGGGACAACCCCGGGAAACUGGGGCUAAUACCCGACAGGUGAGAGCGCCUGGAAUGGUCUCUCGCUGAAAGGGCGUUGGGAACAUGCUCUCGAUGUUGCCCAAGGACGGGACUGCGGCCGAUCAGGUUGUUGGUAGGGUAACGGCCUACCAAGCCUAUAACCGGUACGGGCCCUGAGAGGGGUAGCCCGGAGAUGGGAACUGAGACAAGGUCCCAGGCCCUACGGGGCGCAGCAGGCGCGAAACCUCCACAAUGCACGAAAGUGUGAUGGGGUUAUCCCGAGUGCCGUCCGAAGAGGAUGGCUUUUCCCCGGUGUAAGGAGCCGGGGGAAUAAGAGGGGGGCAAGACUGGUGUCAGCCGCCGCGGUAAUACCAGCUCCUCGAGUGGUAAGGACGAUUAUUUGGCCUAAAGCGUUCGUAGCCGGCUUAGCAAGUCCAUCGUGAAAUCCGACGACUCAAUCGUCGGGCGUGCGAAGGAUACUGUUAGGCUAGGGGACGGGAGAAGUCGACGGUGGUCCCGGGGUAGGGGUGAAAUCCUGUAAUCCCGGGAGGACCACCAGUGGCGAAGGCGGUCGACUAGAACGCGCCCGACGGUGAUGGACGAAAGCUGGGGGAGCGAACCGGAUUAGAUACCCGGGUAGUCCCAGCCGUAAACGAUGCGAGCUAGGUGUUGGAGUGGCUACGAGCUGCUCCAGUGCCGCAGGGAAGCUCUUAAGCUCGCCGCCUGGGAAGUACGGCCGCAAGGCUGAAAUACAAGAGGUAGGAAGCCUCUUGGACAGUAUACUUAAAGGAAUUGGCGGGGGAGCACCACAAGGGGUGAAGCCUGCGGUUUAAUAGGGUUCAACGCCGGG
rnacentral:rRNA from 1 species